GGUUCGAUCAUGGCUCAGAUUGAACGCUGGCGGGAUGCUUACACAUGCAAGUCGAACAGCAGCACGGACUUCAGUCUGGUGGCGAGUGGCGAACGGGUGAAGUAAUGUAUCGGAACGUGCCUAGUAGCGGGGGAUAACUACGCGGCGUAGCCCAGCCACCGCAUACGCCCUUCGGGGAAAGCGAAGGGGACCUUCGGGCCUCGCACUAUUAGGAAGCGGCCGAUAUCGGAUUAGCUAGUUGGUGGGUAACAUUCACCAAGGCGACGAUCCGUAGCUGGUUUGAGGACGACCAGCCACGCAGGACUGAGACACGGCCCAGACUCCUACGGGAGGCAGCAGUGGGGAAUUUUGGACAAUGGGAAACCACAGUCAGCCAUCCCGCGUGUGCGAUGAAGGCCUUCGGGUUGUAAAGCACUUUUGGCAGGAAAGAAACGGCACGGGAUAAUACCCCACGUGCAACUGACGGUACCUGCAGAAUAAGCAUGACCCCAACUACGUGCCAGCAGCCAUGAUAAUACGUAGGGUGCAGCGUUAAUCGGAAUUACUGGGCGUAAAGCGUGCGCAGGCGGUUCGGAAAGAUGUAUCGAACGCUGGAACUGCAUUUUUAACUACCGAGCUAGAGUGUGUCCGGGGAGGUAGGUGCGUGUAGCGGUGAAAUGCGUAGAUAUGCGGAGGAACACCGAUGGCGAAGGCAGCUACCGGAUAACACUGACGCUCAUGCGAAAGCGUGGGGAGCAAACAGGAUUAGAUACCCUGGUAGUCCACGCCUAAACGAUAUCAACCGCUGUUGGGGCCUUCGGGCCUUGGUAGCGCAGCUAACGCGUGAAGUUGACCGCCUGGGAAGUACGGUCGCAAGAUUAAAACUCAAAGGGAAUUGACGGGGACCCGCACAAGCGAGUGGAUGAUGUGGAUUAAUUCCAGGUAGCGAAAAGCCUUACUACCAUGACAUGUCUGGAAUCCCGAAAGAGAUUUAGGAGUGCUCGCGAAGGGCGGAACACGGUGCUGCAUGGCUGUCGUCAGCUCGUGUCGUGAAGAUGUUGGGUUAAGUCCGCAACAGGCACAACCGCUAUCAUGGUUGCUGAGGCGCUCUAAUGAGACUGCCGGUGACAAACCGGAGGAGGUGGGGAUGACGUCAAGUCCUCAUGGCCCUCCCUGGUGGAGCUUCACACGUCAUACAGUAUGGUCAGGACAGAGGGUCGCCAGCCCGCGAGGGGGAGCCAAUCCCAGAAACCCGAUCGUAGUCCGGAUCGCAGUCUGCAACUCGACUGCGUGAAGUCAGAAUCGCUAGUAAUCGCGGAUCAGCAUGUCGCGGUGAAUACGUUCCGGGUCUUGUACACACCGCCCGUCACGCAACAGGAUCGUUUUACCAGAAGUAGUUAGCCUAACCGUAAGGAGGGCGAUUACCACGGUAGGAUUCAUGACUGGGGUGAAGUCGUAACAAGGUAG
rnacentral:rRNA from 1 species